UACGAAGGGGGCUAGCGUUGCUCGGAAUCACUGGGCGUAAAGCGCACGUAGGCGGAUUGUUAAGUCAGGGGUGAAAUCCUGGAGCUCAACUCCAGAACUGCCUUUGAUACUGAAGAUCUUGAGUUCGGGAGAGGUGAGUGGAACUGCGAGUGUAGAGGUGAAAUUCGUAGAUAUUCGCAAGAACACCAGUGGCGAAGGCGGCUCACUGGCCCGUAACUGACGCUGAGGCACGAAAGCGUGGGGAGCAAACAGG
rnacentral:rRNA from 1 species